rnacentral:rRNA from 1 species
AGUGAACGCUGGCGGUAGGCCUAACACAUGCAAGUCGAACGGCAGCACAGUAAGAGCUUGCUCUUACGGGUGGCGAGUGGCGGACGGGUGAGGAAUACAUCGGAAUCUACUUUUUCGUGGGGGAUAACGUAGGGAAACUUACGCUAAUACCGCAUACGACCUACGGGUGAAAGCAGGGGAUCUUCGGACCUUGCGCGAUUGAAUGAGCCGAUGUCGGAUUAGCUAGUUGGCGGGGUAAAGGCCCACCAAGGCGACGAUCCGUAGCUGGUCUGAGAGGAUGAUCAGCCACACUGGAACUGAGACACGGUCCAGACCCCUACGGGAGGCAGCAGUGGGGAAUAUUGGACAAUGGGCGCAAGCCUGAUCCAGCCAUACCGCGUGGGUGAAGAAGGCCUUCGGGUUGUAAAGCCCUUUUGUUGGGAAAGAAAAGCAGCAGGUUAAUACCCCGCAGUUCUGACGGUACCCAAAGAAUAAGCACCGGCUAACUUCGU